CGGGUUUCUCCCUGCGGCUCCUGGGUUGUUGAGACUCUUGUGAAGAUGGCUUGCGCUGCCGCGCGGUCCCCGGCCGACCAGGACAGGUGGGUUCUGAGGCGGUGGGUCCUCCGAAAGGAAGGGGCUUGCUGUGGUGCUGCAGGUGCUACACCGCGCUUCUCCGCUCCGCGGCCUCCAGAAUGGCCUAGCUGAUCCAACUCGCUCUGUACGGGCCCCGCGCCUCUCCCUGGCAGCUCGUUUUUCUGAAUCCUGCAGCAGCCACCAGGCUCUUCUCAGGGCUCCUGAAAUUCCGACCAUAGGUUUAUUUGUAUCUAUCCUGCUUAUUUAAAUAAUAAGAAGACCAUCGCAGAGGGAAGGCGAAUCCCCAUAAGUAAGGCUGUUGAAAAUCCUACAGCUACAGAGAUUCAAGAUGUAUGUUCAGCAGUUGGACUUAACGUAUUUCUUGAGAAAAAUAAAAUGUACUCUAGAGAAUGGAAUCGUGAUGUCCAAUACAGAGGCAGAGUCCGGGUCCAGCUCAAACAGGAAGAUGGGAGCCUCUGCCUUGUACAGUUCCCAUCACAUUAUACACUAAGCCUAACUUCUGGUUCCUAGGUAAGUCAGUAAUGUUGUAUGCAGCAGAAAUGAUACCUAAACUAAAAACAAGGACACAAAAAACAGGAGGUGCUGACCAAAGUCUUCAACAAGGAGAGGGAAGUAAAAAAGGGAAAGGAAAGAAAAAGAAGUAACCUAGUAUCAGCAUCAAGUAUGUGGUACUACUGUAAGAGACAUGAAUGGAGACUUCUAAUUUGUAUCGGAGGGAAACAGAAGCUUUUUGUUUGCAUCAUUUAACUGAACUGUGAACCCUUGUGCCUCUCAUCUUUAUCAUCGGAGUUGACAGUGAAACAAAUUUACAUCAGAAGUUUGCAUCUCGCG
rnacentral:lncRNA from 1 species